GUUGAGGUGUGCCGGAACAGACGAUGCUGGUAGACCUGUAAAACAAAGAGGGCCCACCCAAGGUUAAGAAGAGAAGAUAAAGAGGUUAUGAUUGAGUAGUGGGAGUUGUGGGAGGGACAUGCCAAUCGCUAGAACAAAAACGGUGUGGAGCAAGGUAAGGAGUCCCUUUAAGUAAGGAAAUCAUGUUCCUGCCACAACUAAAGGCAAAAUCCUCAAGAAUGGUUAAGGCUUGGUUUUCUUGAUUAGUAUUCUGACAUAACUCAUGAAUGAGAUAUAUUUGAUGGCUGUGUGAGAAUUAAUUUUAAGGUGGCAAAAAGCAGACCGUAGUAAAGAAAACAUGGCAAAUAUGUUGUUAAUAUACUGUACUAAUACUUGGUCAGAGAAUACAUAACCAGAAAGGAGUAAAUGAGCAUGAAUUGUAAAUGAAGGAAAAUGGUUGAAAGGAUACGUAGGCUGGACCAUGCAUGGGUUGAACAUAAA